UACGGGGGGGGCAAGCGUUGUUCGGAAUUACUGGGCGUAAAGGGCUCGUAGGUGGCCAACUAAGUCAGACGUGAAAUCCCUCGGCUUAACCGGGGAACUGCAUCUGAUACUGGAUGGCUUGAGUUUGGGAGAGGGAUGUGGAAUUCCAGGUGUAGCGGUGAAAUGCGUAGGUAUCUGGAGGAACACCGGUGGCGAAGGCGACAUCCUGGACCGGUAUUGACGCUGAGGCGCGAAAGCCAGGGGAGCAAACGGG
rnacentral:rRNA from 1 species